GCGAGGGUGCUGGAACUGGCAGACAGGCACGUUUGAGGGGCGUGUGGGUUUAUCCCGUGCGGGUUCGAGUCCCGCCCCUCGCA
rnacentral:tRNA from 4 species